AGAGUUUGAUCCUGGCUCAGGAUGAACGCUGGCGGCGUGCCUAACACAUGCAAGUCGAACGAAGCACCUUUUAAGAUUCUUCGGAUGAUUGAUUGGUGACUGAGUGGCGGACGGGUGAGUAACGCGUGGGUAACCUGCCCUGUACAGGGGGACAACAGCUGGAAACGGCUGCUAAUACCGCAUAAGCGCACAGCAUCGCAUGAUGCCGUGUGAAAAACUCCGGUGGUACAGGAUGGGCCCGCGUUGGAUUAGGUAGUUGGUGAGGUAACGGCUCACCAAGCCGACGAUCAGUAGCCGUGCUGAGAGGCAGGCCGGCCACACUGGAACUGAGACACGGUCCAGACACCUACGGGUGGCAGCAGUCGAGAAUCAUUCACAAUGGGGGAAACCCUGAUGGUGCGACGCCGCGUGGGGGAAUGAAGGUCUUCGGAUUGUAAACCCCUGUCAUGUGGGAGCAAAUUAAAAAGAUAGUACCACAAGAGGAAGAGACGGCUAACUCUGUGCCAGCAGCCGCGGUAAUACAGAGGUCUCAAGCGUUGUUCGGAAUCACUGGGCGUAAAGCGUGCGUAGGCUGUUUCGUAAGUCGUGUGUGAAAGGCGCGGGCUCAACCCGCGGACGGCACAUGAUACUGCGAGACUAGAGUAAUGGAGGGGGAACCGGAAUUCUCGGUGUAGCAGUGAAAUGCGUAGAUAUCGAGAGGAACACUCGUGGCGAAGGCGGGUUCCUGGACAUUAACUGACGCUGAGGCACGAAGGCCAGGGGAGCGAAAGGGAUUAGAUACCCCUGUAGUCCUGGCAGUAAACGGUGCACGCUUGGUGUGCGGGGAAUCGACCCCCUGCGUGCCGGAGCUAACGCGUUAAGCGUGCCGCCUGGGGAGUACGGUCGCAAGAUUAAAACUCAAAGGAAUUGACGGGGACCCGCACAAGCGGUGGAGCAUGUGGUUUAAUU
rnacentral:rRNA from 1 species